rnacentral:rRNA from 1 species
UACGAAGGGGGCUAGCGUUGCUCGGAAUUACUGGGCGUAAAGGGCGCGUAGGCGGACAGUUUAGUCAGAGGUGAAAGCCCAGGGCUCAACCUUGGAAUUGCCUUUGAUACUGAUUGUCUUGAGUUCGGGAGAGGUGAGUGGAACUGCGAGUGUAGAGGUGAAAUUCGUAGAUAUUCGCAAGAACACCAGUGGCGAAAGGCGGCUCACUGGCCCGAUACUGACGCUGAGGCACGAAAGCGUGGGGAGCAAACAGG